UGGCUGUCGUCAGCUCGUGUCGUGAGAUGUUGGGUUAAGUCCCGCAACGAGCGCAACCCUUGUCAUUAGUUGCUACAUUUAGUUGGGCACUCUAAUGAGACUGCCGGUGACAAACCGGAGGAAGGUGGGGAUGACGUCAAGUCCUCAUGGCCCUUAUAGGUAGGGCUACACACGUCAUACAAUGGAUGGUACAAAGGGUCGCCAACCCGCGAGGGGGAGCCAAUCCCAUAAAGCCAUUCGUAGUCCGGAGGGGCAGUCUGCAACUCGACUGCGUGAAGUCGGAAUCGCUAGUAAUCGUGG
rnacentral:rRNA from 1 species